UGUGUCUGGGUCACUGUUGCUAGGCAGAUUAAGCACUCCACAUCCAGAAGCUUCUGGAAUUGGGGGUGGUAGUUUUGGAUCUGCUCCAAUAGCUUCCCCAUUGCUGGGGUGAGACUCCAGGAGGGCGAGCAGUCAGGGCAGCUGCUUUGCAGAAAGCCACGUGCCCUGGGUGAGUUGGGAGAACCUGAGCCCAGGGGCAGGAAGCAGGCUGCUUCCCCGAACUCUGAAGCAUUUUGCAGCAACCGGUAACUGAGUGGUUGGUUAAUCAGUCAGCUGGCUGGCUAGCAGGGAUUUCAGCAGAAGAAGAGUCUGCCUGGAUUCCAGCUGAAGAUUCCUACAAGCAAUGGAGGGAAGAUGUUGUUUGAGACUCAGCAGACUGUCUAGAUUUGGUGAUCAACGACUCUGAGACUUAGAUGAACAAAACCAAAGCUUUUGGGAACUUUCAGUUUCUUCUCACUGUAUUUCUGUGGGGACUGAACUAUUCAGAUUUUAAUUUUUCUUUGUGUGUGUUUAUGUAUAACGGUGUGAAGAUAAUGUCUGUGGAUUAUAAAAUACCCAUGUCAUGCUGUAACAAUUAGAUUAUUAUUUGUCUCUUUAUCAUAAGAUUUUUAUAAAAUUAUUCACAUUCA